CAGACCAAUAAAUGGUUACCCAAGACCCAGACUCAGACCAGGCCAGGUGAGGUCGAGGAGGAGACUUGUCCCGCCUUCCUAGAGAGCAGGAGAGCCCUUAAAGCAUGGCCACCGUCCUCAGGCCAGCGCAGAGAGUCGCGGUGUCUGCUGCCCGGGGCGUGAGGCAGCUGCACCUCUCCAAGCCUAAUGGCGAGACCUUCACCGUCACUGAUGCCGUCCUGCCCAGGCCCCACUCCACCAAGGUGACAGGUUACAUGGGUGUCACCAUGACAACAUCACUGGGAAUAUUCACUGGAGCAGAGAUGAGCAAGAACAUUGCCAGCUUUCUUGAGGAGAAUGAACUCUUUGUUCCAUCAGAUGAUGAUGAUGAUGAUUGAGCCCCUAUACUGUGUGCCAAAGAACAUGGCCUGGAGGACUAAAUCAGGUUUUAUGGAUAAAUCCUGAUAUUUCGUGAUUCUUGUUUCAGGUAUGUGAAGAAUCAUCUAGUCAAGAGUGUGUAAAAAAAAAAAAAAAAAAAGUAUCCUAACAUAAAACUAGUGACAAUUCUGUAAGGUCAAGUUACAGCAACAUCUGUAUUUUGAGUUAAUGUCAAAAUAAUUCUGUUGUUUGCCUGUUAUUAAUGGAUGUUGUUUCAAUUCAUAAAGUUUGGUCCUGCUCACUGCAUAAUAUUGUCCAGCUUUAUAAUAGGAAUAUAUACAUAACUACUACUUAAAGCUUGAUCUUUUUUUUAUUAUUAUUAUUAUUAUUAUUAUUAUUCCUUGAUGUUAUUGGCUAAGAAACCUAGGUGAAAGCCUUCAAAAAUUGAUUGUGAGAUUAUGUAGUAAGUCUUAGAUAUUUGUGGAGAUUAGUUUUCUUAAUUCAUAAAAUGAUUUAGUUUCCUGUGUAGAAUAUAUGUUUGCCUUUCCUGUAGGAUUCUCAUUCAUACUAAUUUGUAAAAUGUAGAUCUACUUUCUCUUCUCUAAUCCAUUUGUGAUUGCUUGUUACUGUGAUCUGAAAGUAUAUUCCCAUGCAAUAAAAAGAAUAUGUUUCAA